rnacentral:rRNA from 1 species
CAACUUUCAACAACGGAUCUCUUGGCUCUCGCAUCGAUGAAGAACGCAGCGAAAUGCGAUACGUAAUGUGAAUUGCAGAAUUCAGUGAAUCAUCGAAUCUUUGAACGCACCUUGCGCCCCUUGGUAUUCCGAGGGGUACACCCGUUUG